GGCCCAGUGGCGGACGGUAUCCGCAUCUGCAUGCAAUCCCCGGUUUCAGCAAUGGAUGCAGAAAUUGCUCGUUCGAAUCGAGCUCGGGCCG